rnacentral:rRNA from 1 species
UACGGAGGGUGCAAGCGUUAAUCGGAAUUACUGGGCGUAAAGCGCGCGUAGGUGGUUUGUUAAGUUAGAUGUGAAAGCCCCGGGCUUAACCUGGGAACUGCAUUUAAAACUGGCUAACUAGAGUAUGGUAGAGGGAAGUGGAAUUCCACAUGUAGCGGUGAAAUGCGUAGAGAUGUGGAGGAACAUCAGUGGCGAAGGCGACUUCCUGGACCAAUACUGACACUGAGGUGCGAAAGCGUGGGGAGCAAACAGG